rnacentral:rRNA from 1 species
AUCAUGGUCAGAUUAACGCUGGCGGCAGGCCUAACACAUGCAAGUCGAGCGGUAGAGAGAAGCUUGCUUCUCUUGAGAGCGGCGGACGGGUGAGUAAUGCCUAGGAAUCUGCCUGGUAGUGGGGGAUAACGUUCGGAAACGGACGCUAAUACCGCAUACGUCCUACGGGAGAAAGCAGGGGACCUUCGGGCCUUGCGCUAUCAGAUGAGCCUAGGUCGGAUUAGCUAGUUGGUGAGGUAAUGGCUCACCAAGGCGACGAUCCGUAACUGGUCUGAGAGGAUGAUCAGUCACACUGGAACUGAGACACGGUCCAGACUCCUACGGGAGGCAGCAGUGGGGAAUAUUGGACAAUGGGCGAAAGCCUGAUCCAGCCAUGCCGCGUGUGUGAAGAAGGUCUUCGGAUUGUAAAGCACUUUAAGUUGGGAGGAAGGGCAGUUACCUAAUACGUGAUUGUUUUGACGUUACCGACAGAAUAAGCACCGGCUAACUCUGUGCCAGCAGCCGCGGUAAUACAGAGGGUGCAAGCGUUAAUCGGAAUUACUGGGCGUAAAGCGCGCGUAGGUGGUUUGUUAAGUUGGAUGUGAAAUCCCCGGGCUCAACCUGGGAACUGCAUUCAAAACUGACUGACUAGAGUAUGGUAGAGGGUGGUGGAAUUUCCUGUGUAGCGGUGAAAUGCGUAGAUAUAGGAAGGAACACCAGUGGCGAAGGCGACCACCUGGACUAAUACUGACACUGAGGUGCGAAAGCGUGGGGAGCAAACAGGAUUAGAUACCCUGGUAGUCCACGCCGUAAACGAUGUCAACUAGCCGU